ACACUUGCAAGUUGCCUGGUUGAGUUUGUGUGGCGGGGCACCCUGGCCCGCAUGCGGUACAAAAGAACCAAGGCAGCUCUGACCAUAAUCAGGUACUACCGGCGCUACAAAGUGAAGUCGUACAUCCACGAGGUGGCCAGACGCUUCCAUGGCGUCAAGACCAUGCGAGACUAUGGGAAGCACGUGAAGUGGCCAAGCCCUCCUAAAGUUCUUCGCCGUUUUGAGGAGGCCCUGCAGACGAUUUUCAAUAGAUGGAGAGCAUCCCAGCUCAUCAAGAGCAUUCCGGCCUCAGACCUGCCCCAGGUCAGGGCAAAGGUUGCAGCCAUGGAAAUGUUGAAGGGUCAAAGGGCUGACCUCGGGCUCCAGAGGGCCUGGGAGGGCAACUAUCUUGCUUCAAAGCCAGAUACACCUCAGACCUCAGGCACUUUUGUCCCUGUUGCUAAUGAAUUGAAACGGAAGGACAAAUACAUGAAUGUCCUCUUUUCCUGUCAUGUCCGUAAGGUAAAUCGAUUUAGUAAGGUGGAAGACAGAGCAAUUUUUGUCACUGACCGUCACCUAUAUA
rnacentral:sRNA from 1 species